CUACCAUGUGCAAGAAAUCAGUGUGGUAAUUAAUGAAUCAAUAUUUUUUUUAUUUAAUGAAUCUAUUUUUUCAGACACGUCAAAAGCAAAACUAUGAACAUGAAAAAGUCUAUGUACUUCCUUUAAAAUGUAAUUACUUUUAGAAUGUGAUUUUAUUGGCUCAACGCCUGCUAAUACAUCCAUCAAGGAAGCAACAGAGUAGUCACGAACGGCACACUCCGAUAUCAUGUAAUAGAGAUGUUAUAAUACUAUGAUAAAAUACAACUAGUUCAUUGUUACAGAAUUUUUGUAAAGAAGCAGUCCCUACCAAUAUAUUUCAUUUAAUCGUUGAAGAACACCAGAUUUAUGACAAGGGGGCCCAUAGCAGUAUUCUAAAAUGAAUCGUCUCCCGUUGUUGCUACCGAUUCUUGUCCUACUGAUGGAGAUACGUUCACCCGUAGUCCAUGGUGUAUCAGUUGACAUCACCACUGAGGCUUCAACAAUUUUGAGUACAGAUAUACAGUAUAGCACCAAUGG